UACAGAGGGUGCAAACGUUGCUCGGAAUCACUGGGCGUAAAGGGCGUGUAGGCGGGUAGGAAAGUCAGAUGUGAAAUCCCCGGGCUCAACCUGGGAACUGCAUUUGAAACUCCCUUUCUUGAGUACCGGAGAGGAAAGUGGAAUUCCUGGUGUAGAGGUGAAAUUCGUAGAUAUCAGGAGGAACACCAGUGGCGAAGGCGGCUUUCUGGACGGUAACUGACGCUGAGACGCGAAAGCGUGGGGAGCAAACAGG
rnacentral:rRNA from 1 species